rnacentral:rRNA from 1 species
AUGCUUGUAGAUCAUGAAAAGAAUGCUUUAGGUGCUGGUUAUAUUGUUGAAUUCAUUCAUGAUGCUACUGAAAAUUAUUAUGAGGGAGUAAUAUAUGCUUGUAGGAAUUGCAAUAAUAUCAAAUUUCCUCUCUAUGUGCUUAAAAUCUUGAAGUUAUGCUUGUUUUGCCUUCCUAUGCUAGUUGAUUAUUGUUCCCAUAAGUUGUUUGCUCACAAAAUCCCUAUGCAUAGGAAGUGGGUUAGACUUAAAUGUGCUAGUCAUAUUCUUCAUGAUGCUCUCUUUAUGUUACAAUUCUUAUCUUAUAUGUGA